AGGAUGGGCCCGCAUCUGAUUAGCUGGUUGGUGAGAUAACGGCUCACCAAGGCGACGAUCAGUAGCCGACCUGAGAGGGUGAUCGGCCACAUUGGGACUGAGACACGGCCCAAACUCCUACGGGAGGCAGCAGUGGGGAAUAUUGCACAAUGGGGGAAACCCUGAUGCAGCAACGCCGCGUGAAGGAAGAAGGUUUUCGGAUCGUAAACUUCUAUCAACAGGGACGAAGAAAGUGACGGUACCUGAAUAAGAAGCCCCGGCUAACUACGUGCCAGCAGCCGCGGUAAUACGUAGGGGGCAAGCGUUAUCCGGAAUUACUGGGUGUAAAGGGAGCGUAGGCGGCACGCCAAGCCAGAUGUGAAAGCCCGAGGCUUAACCUCGGGAUUGCAUUUGGAACUGGCGAGCUAGAGUACAGGAGAGGAGAGCGGAAUUCCUAGUGUAGCGGUGAAAUGCGUAGAUAUUAGGAAGAACACCAGUGGCGAAGGCGGCUUUCUGGACUGAAACUGACGCUGAGGCUCGAAAGCGUGGGGAGCAAACAGGAUUAGAUACCCUGGUAGUCCACGCCGU
rnacentral:rRNA from 1 species